AUUGAACGCUGGCGGCAGGCCUAACACAUGCAAGUCGGACGGUAGCACAGAGGAGCUUGCUCCUCGGGUGACGAGUGGCGGACGGGUGAGUAAUGUCUGGGGAUCUGCCCGAUAGAGGGGGAUAACCACUGGAAACGGUGGCUAAUACCGCAUAACGCCGCAAGACCAAAGAGGGGGACCUUCGGGCCUCUCACUAUCGGAUGAACCCAGAUGGGAUUAGCUAGUAGGCGGGGUAACGGCCCACCUAGGCGACGAUCCCUAGCUGGUCUGAGAGGAUGACCGGCCACACUGGAACUGAGACACGGUCCAGACUCCUACGGGAGGCAGCAGUGGGGAAUAUUGCACAAUGGGCGCAAGCCUGAUGCAGCCAUGCCGCGUGUAUGAAGAAGGCCUUCGGGUUGUAAAGUACUUUCAGCGGGGAGGAAGGCGAUGUGGUUAAUAACCGCGUCGAUUGACGUUACCCGCAGAAGAAGCACCGGCUAACUCCGUGCCAGCAGCCGCAGUAA
rnacentral:rRNA from 1 species